rnacentral:lncRNA from 1 species
UAUCUGUACCCCUACUGUAUCUAGGAAGUAACUAGCUUGCUUUUGAUUUUACAGACUCACAGGGGGAAGGAACUUGGCUUGUCUUAGGUGAGACUUUGGACUGUGGACAUUUGGGUUAAUGCUGAAAUGAGUUAAGGCUUUGGGGGACUGUUGGGAAGGCAUGAUUGGUUUUGAAAUGUGAGGACAUGAGAUUUGGAGGGGCCGGGGUGGAAUGAUAUGAUUUGGCUCUGUGUCCCCACCCAAAUCUCAUCUUGAAUUGUACUCCCAUAAUUCCCACGUGUUGUGGGAGGGACCUGGUGGGAGAUAAUUGAAUCCUGGGGGUGGUUUCCCUCAUAUUGUUCUUGUGGUAGUAAGAAUAAGUCUCACGAGACCUGAUGGUUUUAUCAGGGGUUUCUGUUUUUAUAUCUUCCUCAUUUUCUCUUGCUGCCUCCAUGUAAGAAGUGCCUUUCACCUCCAGCCAUGAUUGUGAGGCCUCCCCAGCCAUGUGGAACUGUCCAGUGAAACCUCUUUUUCUUCCCAGUCUCGGAGCAAGAAAAAGAAACAUGAUGGAAUAACCCAAUUUAAAAUUGAAGCCGGGUGUGGUGGCUCAUGCCUGUAAUCCCAGCAUUUUGGGAGGCCGAG